GGGGAUGAGGUGCUGGGGAAGGUUCCUGGGGAGCGGGGAUGAGGUGUUGGGGGGUCCUGGGAGCGUGGGGGCAGCUGGAGCAGGGAUGAGGUGCUGGGGGGUCCUGGGGAGCGGGGAUGAGGUGCCCGGGAAAGUUCCUGCAGAGCAGGGAUGAGGUACCCAGGGUUCCUGGGGAGCGGGGAUGAGGCAUUGGGGGUUCCUGGGAGGGAUGGGUGAGGUACCCGGGGUUCCUGAGUAGUGGGGAUGAGGUACCCGGGGUUCCUGGGAGGGAUGGGGGGCAGCCCCUCUUCUCCCAGCACCUCUCUCCCGUACCUGAGUCAGAGUUUGGGGAUAUGGACGAGGUGUGGCCUCUGGGGGGGUUUCAGAGCUGGAUCUGGGCAUCCCAUCUGAGCCUCUGCCUGUAAAAGUGUCUUUCCCCUUUGCUCUCUUCCUCCUUUGUUAAUUCAGAGGUCUUGAGCAGUAAGGAUCAAAGCCUUUGCUCAAACUCUUUGCUGUAUAAACUUGAUAAAGCCCUUGCAUUACAGGGUUUAGGGCAUUUAUGUUGUACCCUUGAAUUCUUGUGCUCUUUAAUGGUCCAAUAUUUUACUGUGGUCUUGGGUGCCCUGUAGUUCUUUUUGGACUCUAAAUUCUGGGGAGUUUUCUUUGUUUCCCACAUAUAAUGGCUUUAAGUGAUUUUUAAGUUAACUUGUUUGUACUUACCCCACAA